CUGCAACUUCCGCGGCUCGGUGACUCAGGGUCUGGCUCUGGAAGUGGGAGAGACAGUUCAGAUUCUGGAGAAAUGUGAAGGAUGGUACCGAGGAUUCUCAACCAGGAAACCAAAUGUCAAGGGAGUUUUCCCAGCCAGCUACAUCCACCUGAAGAAAGCCGUCGUCACCAACCGAGGGCCUCAUGAGACCGUGGCGCCCCUCGAAGACCCCAUCGUUACCGAGGUGACGUCAACGCUGCAGGAGUGGGCCUUACUGUGGAAGCAGC